rnacentral:rRNA from 1 species
ACGAACGCUGGCGGCACGCUUAACACAUGCAAGUCGAACGAGAGAAGAGAAGCUUGCUUUUCUGAUCUAGUGGCGGACGGGUGAGUAACACGUGAGCAAUCUGCCUUUCAGAGGGGGAUACCGAUUGGAAACGAUCGUUAAUACCGCAUAAUAUAAUUGAACCGCAUGAUUUGAUUAUCAAAGAUUUAUCGCUGAAAGAUGAGCUCGCGUCUGAUUAGCUAGUUGGUAAGGUAACGGCUUACCAAGGCGACGAUCAGUAGCCGGACUGAGAGGUUGAUCGGCCACAUUGGGACUGAGACACGGCCCAGACUCCUACGGGAGGCAGCAGUGGGGAAUAUUGCACAAUGGAGGAAACUCUGAUGCAGCGAUGCCGCGUGAGGGAAGAAGGUUUUAGGAUUGUAAACCUCUGUCUUCAGGGACGAAAAAAGACGGUACCUGAGGAGGAAGCUCCGGCUAACUACGUGCCAGCAGCCGCGGUAAUACGUAGGGAGCGAGCGUUGUCCGGAAUUACUGGGUGUAAAGGGAGCGUAGGCGGGAUCGCAAGUCAGAUGUGAAAACUAUGGGCUUAACCCAUAAACUGCAUUUGAAACUGUGGUUCUUGAGUGAAGUAGAGGUAAGCGGAAUUCCUAGUGUAGCGGUGAAAUGCGUAGAUAUUAGGAGGAACAUCAGUGGCGAAGGCGGCUUACUGGGCUUUAACUGACGCUGAGGCUCGAAAGCGUGGGGAGCAAACAGGAUUAGAUACCCUGGUAGUCCACGCCGUAAACGAUGAUUACUAGGUGUGGGGGGACUGACCCCUUCCGUGCCGCAGCAAACGCAAUAAGUAAUCCACCUGGGGAGUACGACCGCAAGGUUGAAACUCAAAGGAAUUGACGGGGGCCCGCACAAGCAGUGGAGUAUGUGGAUUAAUUCGAAGCAACGCGAAGAACCUUACCAGGUCUUGACAUCGUAUGCAUAGCUCAGAGAUGAGUGAAAUCUCUUCGGAGACAUAUAGACAGGUGGUGCAUGGUUGUCGUCAGCUCGUGUCGUGAGAUGUUGGGUUAAGUCCCGCAACGAGCGCAACCCUUACUGUUAGUUGCUACGCAAGAGCACUCUAGCAGGACUGCCGUUGACAAAACGGAGGAAGGUGGGGAUGACGUCAAAUCAUCAUGCCCCUUAUGACCUGGGCCUCACACGUACUACAAUGGCUGUAAACAGAGGGAUGCAAAGCCGCGAGGUGGAGCGAACCCCUAAAAGCAGUCUUAGUUCGGAUUGUAGGCUGCAACCCGCCUACAUGAAGUCGGAAUUGCUAGUAAUCGCAGAUCAGCAUGCUGCGGUGAAUACGUUCCCGGGCCUUGUACACACCGCCCGUCACGCCAUGGGAGUCGGUAACACCCGAAGCCUGUAGUCUAACCGCAAGGAGGACGCAGUCGAAGGUGGGAUUGAUGACUGGGGUG